AGACCCGAAACCCGGUGAUCUAGCCAUGGGCAGGUUGAAGGUUGGGUAACACUAACUGGAGGACCGAACCGACUAAUGUUGAAAAAUUAGCGGAUGACCUGUGGCUGGGGGUGAAAGGCCAAUCAAACCGGGAGAUAGCUGGUUCUCCCCGAAAGCUAUUUAGGUAGCGCCUCGUGAACUCAUCUCCGGGGGUAGAGCACUGUUUCGGCUAGGGGGCCAUCCCGGCUUACCAACCCGAUGCAAACUGCGAAUACCGGAGAAUGUUAUCACGGGAGACACACGGCGGGUGCUAACGUCCGUCGUGAAGAGGGAAACAACCCAGACCGCCAGCUAAGGUCCCAAAGUCAUGGUUAAGUGGGAAACGAUGUGGGAAGGCCCAGACAGCCAGGAUGUUGGCUUAGAAGCAGCCAUCAUUUAAAGAAAGCGUAAUAGCUCACUGGUCGAGUCGGCCUGCGCGGAAGAUGUAACGGGGCUAAACCAUGCACCGAAGCUGCGGCAGCGACACUUUAGUGUUGUUGGGUAGGGGAGCGUUCUGUAAGCCGUUGAA
rnacentral:rRNA from 1 species